GAGGAAAGUCCGGGCUCCACAGGGCAGGGUGCCAGGUAAUCCCUGGGGGGCGCGAGCCUACGGAAAGUGCAACAGAAAAUAUACCGCCAGGAAACUGGUAAGGGUGAAAUGGUGCGGUAAGAGCGCACCGCGCAGGUGGUAACACGCUGCGGCAUGGUAAACCCCACCCGGAGCAAGACCAAAUAGGAAAGCGAUGCCGUGGCCCGCGGCGCUUUCGGGUAGGUCGCACGAGGCCGCCGGUGACGGCGGUCCCAGAUGAAUGAUUGCCACAGAUUAACUUCUGGACAGAACCCGGCUUAU
rnacentral:RNase_P_RNA from 1 species